AGUGAACGCUGGCGGUAGGCCUAACACAUGCAAGUCGAACGGCAGCACAGUAAGAGCUUGCUCUUACGGGUGGCGAGUGGCGGACGGGUGAGACAUACAUCGGCUUCUACUUUUUCUUGGGGGAUAACGUGGGGCCACUUACGCUAAUACCGCAUACGUCCUACGGGUGAAAUCAGGAGAUCUUGGCACCUUUCCUGUUUCAAUGAGACGAUGUCGGAUUAGCUAGUUGGCGUGGUAAAGGCCCACCAAGGCGACGAUCCGUAGCUGGCCUGAGAGGAUGAUCAGCCACACUGGAACUGAGACACGGUCCAGACUCCUACGGGAGGCAGCAGUGGGGAAUAUUGGACAAUGGGCGCAAGCCUGAUCCAGCAACACCGCGUGGGCGAAGAAGGUCUUCGGGUUGUAAAGCUCUUUUGUUGGGAAAGAAAAGCAGCAGGUGAAAACCCCGCUGUUCUGACGGUACCCAAAGAAUAAGCAACGGCUAACUUCGUG
rnacentral:rRNA from 1 species